UAGGGUAGCGAAAUAGGAGACGAGAUUGAGAGUUACACUUGCCAUACAGAUUUUGUUAGGACUUGGGAGAUGAUUUCUAGUAGGAUAAAGGUCCGAUCAAAUUGAUUAAGUAAAGGGACUUUCGAAGGAGCUGAAUCAGGAACCUUCAGAACCUCCACAGCUGAAGAAGCAGAAGAUCUAAGUCUCCUACAAGCUACAAACUGGGCCAUCACAAACAAGGGCAGAAGAUCUAGUCAUUGAGGGUGACAAUCAGGAAAUCAUAAAGCACUUACAAGGGGAAAAUUCUACAAUCCAGUGGCAGAGUAUGGAAAUUUUAGAAGAAGUAAAAAGGAAAACGGAACUAUUAUCUCACUUUUUGGGUUUCAACUUCGUAGAUUGGAAAGCUAACAGAGUAGAUGAUCUUUUAGCUAAGAAGGGAAGGAAGAACAAUAGACAUGAAUCUUGGCUAGAACAAUCCCCACAGUUUUUAUUUCCCUCAAUUGCUUUUGAUACUGUAAAAGCUUAUGCACGUUGUAAUAUUAGUAACUCUGCUGUAAUUUCUCCAAAAAUAACUAAUCUAGGAGAUUCAGUCAUCGAAAGAUCGAUUCACUCUGAGUUGGUCAUAGAAGAGACUGAAUCAAAUGAUUAGUUUCUUUCUGUCGUUAUCAAUCUACUUUAUCUU